UUCUAGUUAGUACAAUGGUUAGUAUAGGGCACUUUCACUUGAUCGUUGUAUCAAUACGGUUGAGUACUGCUCAGAUCAGGGUUCGAUUCCCUGGCCGGAAA
rnacentral:tRNA from 1 species